rnacentral:lncRNA from 1 species
UCGUGUAUUGAUUUGUAAUGUGCCUACCAUCGAAUAAUGAGAGAAUUCAUUUAUAGACAUUUCGUGCUCAUUUCAAAAUUUCUGCUUUGUUAUUUCUGGUUUAAAAAGAGAAAUCAUAUUCCUAUGAUCCAAUCAUCGAACUAACUUGUAAUUUGGAUAAUCCUUGUCCAGCACUAUCAAGAAUAUUAAUCCCUCUUUGCUUCACAAAAAUGCUGACCCAUGACAUUACUAAAACAUUAAGUUUAAGUAGAUAACCAAAAAAUCAUUUUCUUUCACUUUGUUAGAUAAAAAAUUGCAAGAUCUCAUGAUGGUACACUAACAUAAUAGCAAGUCACAUGAACUAUUAUUUUCAACUACAUAUGUUGAAUAGAUGAUCAGCUAGUCCAUUAACAGAACUUCUCAUAUUUGUUUGACCGAAACUGACCACAAGUGAAAUUCCUCACUUUGUUUGAAAGUAAAAAAUAAAAAAUAAAAAGCAUUUCUCAGUUACAGUCAUUUAGCCUAACUUGACAUCGGGGUCUUUCCAUCCAUUGCAUUGUGAAACAAAUAAAAAUUCUAGGUUUUCAAUGGGCACUUCUUAACUGUUUUCACUUUAUUUCCCUAUGAAGCAUGGAAACGGGUACAAGAAACAGAAAU